CUGGAACUAGAAGGAGCUUUCUCUCUGUCUCUGAAUAGAAGUGGUUCUAUUUUCCUGAUUUUCCCAACUGUGUGCUCUACCUGGAUUCCUGUGAUCCUGUCAUCAACAAAAGGACUUAAAGGAAGCAGUUUGAACUGACAGAAAUAUGAGCAGACCAGAGCUGGAGGAAGAUUAUUUUGGUAGCUGUGGAAAUACAUUGGAGAGGAGAGAAACAGAAAACAGGGAGACUGGUUGGAGGAUAUUGUAAUACUCCAGAAGAAGAAAUAGAGGAGCAAAAUGAGUACCAGAGCAGGGAUGAAAUCCCAGGUCUCUUCCCUCCUUGGGCAGUGCUGGUUCUGUCAGGUUGUUGAAAUUUGGCCUUCUUAGACACAGACAUUCCUGAACACACCUCAUGAGGUCAUGAGUCAAGCC